UAUAUACACAACAGUAUGCUAAUAAUCUCUCAGGGAUUGGUGGGGCACGGAUCACCCCACUAUCACCCCACUACUUGUCCUCCAGGGAUUGGCGGAGAAUGAAUCACCCCACUAGCAUGGUACCGCCCUCAUUAGCAUAUUAACGGCCAACUGACACCAGGUGCAAAAACCGCACAUGUGCAGUACCGUUAUUCACCACUGGAGGGCGCCCUACAUCUCAUUAUCGUACGGCCACCCUAGCAAGGGGACAAGCCUGCACAUGUGUGUGAUAUCAUCUACUCCUGUGGAUUUAAACGUCUCUUCAACCUAAGCCUCUGCCCUGGACAUCAGAUUGAUAGAUCCAGUUGGAGGCUCAUUGGUGACCUCAACAUUAACAUAUUGCUUGUGCCAAGUUCCCCGGUUCAAAUGAGAUUCUCCAGAAGUCUGUUUGCCUCCUUCUCAGCUCACCAACUGUAGCUAGCAAACCCCUUGGGGACCUUUAAUGCCUGCCACUUCUAUUAAACUCUCGCCACAGGCACUACCAGGAGAGGAACACUGCUAACCCCAACUCACGGAGCAGGAAACAGGCUCCAAGAGGAAAGAAGAAUGUGCCUAAAGUCGCUGAGAUUAAUGCCCGGUGCUGUUCACCAUCUGUAGUCCCAAGUCUCAGUAGAUAAGCCAAGUGUGAAGGCCAGACAGGUUCGUUGGAAGUCUUGAUACAGGUCCUUUUCUCCCAGAAUUAUUCUCAUCCUAAAAUAGGCCUAACCACUCUAAGCUCUCUCCCUCUCCUCCC